CGGACGGGUGAGUAACGCGUGAGAAUCUAGCUUUAGGUUCGGGACAACCAUUGGAAACGGUGGCUAAUACCGGAUGUGCCGAAAGGUAAAAGGCUUGCUGCCUAGAGAUGAGCUCGCGUCUGAUUAGCUAGUUGGUAGUGUAAGGGACUACCAAGGCGACGAUCAGUAGCUGGUCUGAGAGGAUGAUCAGCCACACUGGGACUGAGACACGGCCCAGACUCCUACGGGAGGCAGCAGUGGGGAAUUUUCCGCAAUGGGCGAAAGCCUGACGGAGCAAUACCGCGUGAGGGAGGAAGGCUCUUGGGUUGUAAACCUCUUUUCUCAAGGAAUAAGUUCUGAAGGUACUUGAGGAAUAAGCAUCGGCUAACUCCGUGCCAGCAGCCGCGGUAAUACGGAGGAUGCAAGCGUUAUCCGGAAUGAUUGGGCGUAAAGCGUCCGCAGGUGGUGAUGAAAGUCUGCUGUCAAAGAAUCAGGCUUAACCUGAUAGAGGCAGUGGAAACUACAUGACUAGAGUGCGUUCGGGGCAGAAGGAAUUCCUGGUGUAGGGGAAAGGGGCGUAAAAAAAGAAGUUGUGAUCAUGUACAAUAAAGAAGUAAAGCA
rnacentral:rRNA from 1 species